rnacentral:rRNA from 1 species
GACGAACGCUGGCGGCAUGCCUAACACAUGCAAGUCGAACGAGACCUUCGGGUCUAUUGGCGCACGGUUGCGUAACGCGUGGGAACCUGCCCUUAGGUUCGGAAUAACUCCCCGAAUGGGGUACUAAUACCGGAUAGUGUCUUCGGACCAAAGAUUUAUCGCCUUUGGAUGGGCCCGAGUUGGAUUAGCUAUUUGGUAGGGUAAAAGCCUACCAAGGCGACGAUCCAUAGCUGGUCUGAGAGGAUGAUCAGCCACACUGGGACUGAGACACGGCCCAGACUCCUACGGGAAGCAGCAGUGGGGAAUAUUGGAAAGUGGGCGAAAGCAUGAUCGAGCAAUGCCGCGUGAGUGAUGAAGGCCUUAGGGUUGUAAAGCUCUUUUACCCGGGAUGAUAAUGACAGUACCGGGAGAAUAAGCUCCGGCUAACUACGUG